rnacentral:lncRNA from 1 species
AUGAUGGCAAUGAACUGUCCAUCUCGAGUCACCUCGCACUCAUCAGCUGUUCACCAUGACAUGGUGCUGUGCCACUCUGGCCUUGGCAGAUGGAAGAGACAUGCCCGCCCCGGAGUCAACCUGUGCAGUUUGGGUGAGGAGGCAGCAAAACUCAAACACUCCUCGGUUUUCUUCUCAAGAACUCAGCCGUCGGCACUCGCAGUAAAUGACAGGAGCCAGGUCCUUCUUUGGAGAUGGAGAGCUCCAUGCUGAGGAACCUACUGGGGAAGAGGGACUCCCUUGAGAAUAAAAUCCACUCUGCUAAUUAUCA